ACGGGUGAGUAACACGUAGGUAACCUGCCUAUGAGACUGGGAUAACUAUCGGAAACGAUAGCUAAGACCGGAUAACUGGUUUUCUCGCAUGAGAGAAUCAUGAAACACGGAGCAAUCUGUGGCUUAUAGAUGGGCCUGCGGCGCAUUAGCUAGUUGGUAGGGUAAUGGCCUACCAAGGCGACGAUGCGUAGCCGACCUGAGAGGGUGACCGGCCACACUGGGACUGAGACACAGCCCAGACUCCUACGGGAGGCAGCAGUAGGGAAUCUUCCGCAAUGGACGCAAGUCUGACGGAGCAACGCCGCGUGAGUGAUGAAGGUUUUCGGAUCGUAAAGCUCUGUUGCCCUAGACGAACAGCAUGAGGAGUAACUGCCUUGUGUGUGACGGUAUAGGAGAAGAAAGCCCCGGCUAACUACGUGCCAGCAGCCGCGGUAAUACGUAGGGGGCAAGCGUUGUCCGGAAUUAUUGGGCGUAAAGCGCGCGCAGGCGGUUAAUUAAGUUGGGUGUUUAAGCCCGGGGCUCAACCCCGGUCCGCAUCCAAAACUGGUUGACUUGAGUGUAGGAGAGGAAAGUGGAAUUCCACGUGUAG
rnacentral:rRNA from 1 species